CUGUUACUGGUCAGAAGAUGUUCUUGAUUGUAGAGGAGGGGAAUCUCUCUAUAUAAAAGGAUAGUGGGCAGAGCAGGUUCAUGUAGAUGUUAGAGAGCAUUGGAAGCAGUAUGGAGCCUUGGGACGCCAUAUGAAAGUUCAAAUUUUGAAGAAAAAUGCUCUUCUAGCUUCACCAUUUGGAAUCUGCCCAAAAGGCGACCUAUAUCCUGUGUCAGAGUUCGCUGAAGCUGAGAUUCUGCUUACCACUGUCCCUUUGAUGACCUGCUGCACUACACCAGCUUUAGAAUCUCCAACCCCUAUGGUGGCCUUGCUUGAGGCUUGCUAUUCCCUUCUCUGCUGACAGCAAGGGCCGGUUCAGAUAACACAUGGCACUGCAGAUCCAGUGGAAUCUUGGUUCCAUGAUCAGGAAUCUUGGCCCCACUCUCCAGUCUGAGUUCAGAUCUACUGCAGUUUCACCGAAUGCAGUCAGCAAGACUGCAGAGAGGUGGAGGAGCUGGCUCUGUGGGUUUCCUUAUGUCCUGAAGGACAGCUCGUGCAGCCAAUAGGAGCCAGAGCGAGGGAAAAGCUUCCUCCCUCAACUCCAGUUUGAGUCAAGGCAAACUCAAAUCCCUGGAUCAGAUGUACUGGAGGCACCACCAAAAUGCCAUUAUUGGCAGCGUAACUCAAUAUAUACUGAAUGUAACAAGUGCUGUUAGGGGAGGGAAAACGUGGCUCAAUUUUUGUUUUAGGAACUCCAAUUCCCAUUUCAAACAUUCCUGUUUGGGAACAGGAGGUGAAGGAAACUCCAGUUUAUUGCUAUGUCUGAACUGACCUGAAGAUGAUAAGAGGCUCACUGAAGCAGACCAAAACCUGCUUGGUGCUUGUGUGUUGUUCUGUGCCUGUUUGGUGUGACCUAUGUUUGCUCCUGGCUUCUAAUGACUGGUUUGCCUCUCUGGCUCCUGAUUCGCUUCUCGGCAUGGCCUCUGGUGUGACUACUGUGGUGUAUGACUACUGACUUGACCUUCUGACUCCUGAAUGUCUGCUAGGUGAACCUCUGAUUCUUGGCUCAUGGCUAGAGCUUCUGGUUCUUGUCCUUUUUGGCUACCAGCUUGUCUCCUUCUGCCCAAUCCAGGACUUGGACUUGCAUCUCCUCUUGCCUGCUGCCCAUGGUCCAGCCCUGUGAGCCUGCUUUUCAGUGCAAACUCAGUCCCCAAGUCAUCUUCGAAGUUAAAAACAGAACUAUGCCCACAAAGUCAGUAAAACUAUUCACAAGUACAAUCAGGAAAAACCCCAAGAAACUAUGGUAAUUGAAUUCAAAAUUAUUGAGAUCCAUAUGCCCUUUGAAAUAACUCUGUUGUUCCCCAGUGCCCAAAAGCUAAUAAAGAGGAGAAAGAGGAGCCUC